rnacentral:rRNA from 1 species
UACAGAGGUCCCAAGCGUUGUUCGGAUUCACUGGGCGUAAAGGGUGCGUAGGCGGUCGGGUAAGUCUGGCGUGAAAUCUCCAAGCCUAACUUGGAAACUGCGUUGGAUACUAUCCGGCUCGAGGAAUGGAGGGGAGACUGGAAUACUUGGUGUAGCAGUGAAAUGCGUAGAUAUCAAGUGGAACACCGGUGGCGAAGGCGGCAUCCUGGACCGGUAUUGACGCUGAGGCGCGAAAGCUAGGGGAGCAAACGGG